GCAGAUGCAGUUGGUAGAGCGUGAGACUCUUAAUCUCAGGGUUGUGGGUUUGAUCCCCAUGUUGGGCA